CUGGAACGGAUUCUCCCUCAGAGCCUGCUGAGGGGAUCAGCUGGACCAACACCUUCAUCGGGGACUUCUGGCUUCCAAAAUGCAGAAGCCCAAGUCUCAAGAGUAAAACAGUAAGAGCCAACUACGCCCAAAUUUUAAGCCAGGUGGUGAUCACCUGUGCAGGUUGUGUGGCCAGAUUGUGAUUCCAGCAUUAGCCCAUCACCCUGCUCCGUAUUCUGACGUAGAAGAUGAGGAAUCAUGGGAAGGCGGAAGAGCCUGCUGGAAGGGUUUCUUUGUGGAAAGGACCUGGAGCUGAGUGAAAACUUACAAGCUGACACUCAGACAAGGUGCCACUUGCAUUUAAAGAGUGUCAGGUGAGAAAUGCAUCAGUGAUAGGGAAUCUUCAAAGGACCCGCUUGAACACCAGACUGCUCUCACCAUGCCCUAGGGAAAUUAAUAAAGACU